GACGAACGCUGGCGGCGUGCUUAACACAUGCAAGUCGAACGGAAAGGCCUGCUUUCCCUUGUGGAUUGCGGGUACUCGAGUGGCGAACGGGUGAGUAACACGUGAGUGAUCUGCCCCCAACUUGGGUAUAAGCCUGGGAAACUGGGUCUAAUUCCCGAUAGGACUGCAGGGUUGUGCCUGUGGUGGAAAACGAUUUUCUAGUGGUUGGGGAUGAGCUCGCGGCCUAUCAGCUUGUUGGUUGGGUAAUGGCCUACCAAGGCGGCGACGGGUAGCCGGCCUGAGAGGGUGGACGGCCACAUUGGGACUGGGAUACGGCCCAGACUGGUACGGGAGGAAGCAGUGGGGAAUAAUGGACAAUGGGCGGAAGGCUGAAGGAGCGACGGAGGGUGGGGGAUGACGGGCGUCGGGUUGUAAACUACUUGGGAAAGAGAGGAAGGCACCUGGUUGGAAGGGUGGUGACGGUAGUGGUAGAAGAAGCACCGGCUAACUACGUG
rnacentral:rRNA from 1 species